rnacentral:rRNA from 1 species
AGCUAGUUGGUGAGGUAACGGCUUACCAAGGCGACGAUCUGUAGCGGGUCUGAGAGGAUGAUCCGCCACACUGGAACUGAGACACGGUCCAGACUCCUACGGGAGGCAGCAGUGGGGAAUUUUGGACAAUGGGGGCAACCCUGAUCCAGCCAUGCCGCGUGAGUGAAGAAGGCCUUCGGGUUGUAAAGCUCUUUCGGCCGGGAAGAAAUCGCAUGGGCCAAUACCCUGUGUGGAUGACGGUACCGGAAUAAGAAGCACCGGCUAACUACGUGCCAGCAGCCGCGGUAAUACGUAGGGUGCGAGCGUUAAUCGGAAUUACUGGGCGUAAAGCGUGCGCAGGCGGUUUUGUAAGACAGGCGUGAAAUCCCCGGGCUCAACCUGGGAACUGCGUUUGUGACUGCAAGGCUAGAGUACGGCAGAGGGGGGUGGAAUUCCACGUGUAGCAGUGAAAUGCGUAGAGAUGUGGAGGAACACCAAUGGCGAAGGCAGCCCCCUGGGUCGAUACUGACGCUCAUGCACGAAAGCGUGGGUAGCAAACAGGAUUAGAUACCCUGGUAGUCCACGCCCUAAACUAUGUCAACUAGGUGUUGGGUGGGUAAAACCAUUUAGUACCGUAGCUAACGCGUGAAGUUGACCGCCUGGGGAGUACGGCCGCAAGGUUAAAACUCAAAGGAAUUGACGGGGACCCGCACAAGCGGUGGAUGAUGUGGAUUAAUUCGAUGCAACGCGAAAAACCUUACCUACCCUUGACAUGCCAGGAACUUGCCAGAGAUGGCUUGGUGCCCGAAAGGGAGCCUGGACACAGGUGCUGCAUGGCUGUCGUCAGCUCGUGUCGUGAGAUGUUGGGUUAAGUCCCGCAACGAGCGCAACCCUUGUCGUUAAUUGCCAUCAUUUAGUUGGGCACUUUAGCGAGACUGCCGGUGACAAACCGGAGGAAGGUGGGGAUGACGUCAAGUCCUCAUGGCCCUUAUGGGUAGGGCUUCACACGUCAUACAAUGGUCGGUACAAAGGGUCGCCAAGCCGCGAGGUGGAGCCAAUCCCAGAAAGCCGAUCGUAGUCCGGAUUGCAGGCUGCAACUCGCCCGCAUGAAGUCGGAAUCGCUAGUAAUCGUGGAUCAGCAUGUCACGGUGAAUACGUUCCCGGGUCUUGUACACACCGCCCGUCACACCAUGGGAGCGGGUUCCGCCAGAAGUAGGUAGCCUAACCGCAAGGAGGGCGCUUACCACGGCGGGGUUCGUGACUGGGGUGAAGUCGUAACAAGGUAGCCGUAGGGGAACCUGCGGCUG